rnacentral:rRNA from 1 species
UACGGCGGCCAUAGCGGAGGGGAAACGCCCGGUCCCAUUCCGAUCACGGAAGCUAAGCCCUCCAGCGCCGAUGGUACUGCACUCGACAGGGUGUGGGAGAGUAGGACACCGCGAAC